UUUCCGUAGGUGAACCUGCGGAAGGAUCAUUAAAGCUAUAGAACCCUGGCCCUCUCGCCUGGGGUAUUCUAUCCCACCCCUUGUUUCUUCCACCUUUGUUGCUUUGGCAGGCCUGCCCUCGCGCUGCGGGCUCCGGCCGGCGAGCCCCUGCCAGAGGACCUAAACUCUGUUUGUCUAUACUGACUAAGUACUAUAUAAUAGUUAAAACUUUCAACAACGGAUCUCUUGGUUCUG
rnacentral:misc_RNA from 1 species